rnacentral:rRNA from 1 species
UAUGGAAGGCAGCAGUGGGGAAUAUUGCACAAUGGGCGCAAGCCUGAUGCAGCCAUGCCGCGUGUAUGAAAAAGGCCUUCGGGUUGUAAAGUACUUUCAGUCGUGAGGAAGGUGUUAAGGUUAAUAACCUUAGCAAUUGACGUUAGCGACAGAAGAAGCACCGGCUAACUCCGUGCCAGCAGCCGCGGUAAUACGGAGGGUGCGAGCGUUAAUCGGAAUUACUGGGCGUAAAGGGCACGCAGGCGGUUAAUUAAGUUGGAUGUGAAAUCCCCGGGCUUAACCUGGGAAUGGCAUUCAAGACUGGUUAGCUAGAGUCUUGUAGAGGGGGUAGAAUUCCAUGUGUAGCGGUGAAAUGCGUAGAGAUGUGGAGGAAUACCGGUGGCGAAGGCGGCCCCUGGACAAAGACUGACGCUCAUGUGCGAAAAGCGUGGGGAGCAAAACAGGGAUUAGAUACC